GUUGAGGGGAAUGUUGUCUGGUUGGAGACCUGGCUCGCACGCCGGCCUGCCGGCCGGAUCGAUCGACGGCGGCGUGUGCGUGUGUGCGCGGUUUCGGACCAGGCUUCAUUCCCCCCAAC
rnacentral:pre_miRNA from 2 species